rnacentral:rRNA from 1 species
UACGUAGGGUGCAAGCGUUGUCCGGAAUUAUUGGGCGUAAAGAGCUCGUAGGCGGUCUGUCGCGUCGGCUGUGAAACUCCCGAGGCUCAACCUCGGGUCUGCAGUCGAUACGGGCAAACUUGAGUGUUGCAGGGGAGACUGGAAUUACUGGUGUAGCGGUGAAAUGCGCAGAUAUCAGGAGGAACACCGGUGGCGAAGGCGGGUCUCUGGGCAACAACUGACGCUGGAGGAGCGAAAGCGUGGGGAGCGAACAGG